AUUCUACUCCAUCCGUUGCACAAUACAUGCCUUCUAUUUGUCAAAAUAUAUAUGUAUCUAGACAUGUUUUAGUAUAUAGGUACAUCCAUUUUUGGACAAAUGGAAGUCAAGUAUUUUGGAAUGGAGGGAGUACACA
rfam:Triticum aestivum genome assembly, contig: Triticum_aestivum_CS42_TGACv1_scaffold_147506_2BS